rnacentral:lncRNA from 1 species
CUGAGAUAAUAUUUAACAGAAACACAUCAAUAAUAAACCAGUUAUUGAUGUUCUGUGUCUGUGAUGGUGCUAAGCGCAAUGAGACAUAUUUUCUCAAUUCCUCAUGACGAUCCUGUUCAUUAGGUAACAUUACUCCCACAUUUCCAGAUGAGAGGCAAAGUGGAAAACUCCAGCAUCAUCAUCACCACGUCUUUGGUGGUUAGCAGUCAUGUAAUUCUUCAUGUAACACAGGCAUUUUAUGCACCUUAUCUCACGUAGUCUUCACACUUAAGAGGAGUUUUACAUCUCUGUUCACACAUCCGUUUGGUGAGAUGGUUGGGUUGAUGUUCUCUGGACGGACAUUAUGGAGCUCAUCACUUUAUGCUUUCCUUUUGAAGUCUUCAUGGAUAAAGAGAGGAAGGAAGCCAUGGAUAUCACAAAAGGAUGAGCCGAGAAAGAGCGGUCCACUGCUGAGAGAACAACUUGAAGUCAAGUCCCCACUGAUCCGGGAAGGUCAUCUGUAGCCCUCAUCCCCUUCUUAGAAACCUGGGAAAUGCCCCAUCAUCAGUACAGAGGGAAAGACAGCAUUCAAAACGCUGGGAGGCUUCUCGGGCCAUUUCAUCACAAAAUAAAGCAACAAAC